CGCUCCGGUGUCCUAAUGGUUAGGGUGUCCGUCUCGAAUGUGGAAAGUUACGGGUUCAAAUCCCGAAUGAGUUA